ACUCCUACGGGAGGCAGCAGUGGGGAAUUUUGGACAAUGGGCGCAAGCCUGAUCCAGCAAUGCCGCGUGCAGGAAGAAGGCCUUCGGGUUGUAAACUGCUUUUGUCAGGGAAGAAAUCUUCUGGGCUAAUACCCCGGGAGGAUGACGGUACCUGAAGAAUAAGCACCGGCUAACUACGUGCCAGCAGCCGCGGUAAUACGUAGGGUGCGAGCGUUAAUCGGAAUUACUGGGCGUAAAGCGUGCGCAGGCGGCUUUGCAAGACAGAUGUGAAAUCCCCGGGCUCAACCUGGGAACUGCAUUUGUGACUGCAAGGCUAGAGUACGGCAGAGGGGGAUGGAAUUCCGCGUGUAGCAGUGAAAUGCGUAGAUAUGCGGAGGAACACCAAUGGCGAAGGCAAUCCCCUGGGCCUGUACUGACGCUCAUGCACGAAAGCGUGGGGAGCAAACAGGAUUAGAUACCCUGGUAGUCCACGCCCUAAACGAUGUCAACUGGUUGUUGGACGGCUUGCUGUUCAGUAACGAAGCUAACGCGUGAAGUUGACCGCCUGGGGAGUACGGCCGCAAGGUUGAAACUUAAAGGAAUUGACGG
rnacentral:rRNA from 1 species